GACUUCGGAGGAAAAAGAAAAGGAAGAGACCUUUUUUUGUUUGCCGGGUCUCUAGCUUUUCCUUCUUCAAAAAUCUCCAACAACUAUGUUUCAUUGAAAGAUAAAUAAAUCAAGGGCUAGAUUUUCCAUCUCUCUUCCAUCGAGCACCUCUCGAUCUGAUCAACUAGGGUGUGAAAAUCGAAUCACCUAGAAGCGAACAUCCAGAGUUCAACGAGCUAAAAUACACUCGCAUAUCUGAACCAGAAGAACCUAUGGCAUCUGAUUAUGCUCAACCUCGAAAAGUUCAUCGCUCUCGCCAUUUUCCAGCUGUCUCACAGCCGCAUUUAGUUGGUAUAAAGGAAUCUACACAGCCAAGCCCAGACAGGAAUACAGUGGAGGCUGGUACAGUUGGCAAUAUAGCUCAAGCAAGGCCUUCUGUUACGGAGGAAAGUGUUGUACAGUGGGCUAAAAAUGACAAGAGAAGACUACUUCAUGUUGUUUAUAGCGUUGGAGAUUUAGAUAAGAUUAUAAAAUUCUGUACGGAGUGCCUUGGCAUGAAGGUAUUGCGGAAAAGAGACAUCCCAGAGGAAAGAUAUUCAACUGCCUUUCUUGGUUUUGGACCCGAAGAGUCACAUUUUACGGUUGAACUUUCACACAACUAUGGAGUUGGCAAAUAUGAUAUUGGGACUUGUUUUGGUCACUUUGGUGUUGCAGUUGAGGAUGUUGCUAAAACAGUAAGCCUUGUAAAGGCAAAGGGUGGAAAGGUGACACGAGAACCUGGUCCGGUCAAUGGUGAAAGUUCUGUUAUUGCUUUUAUAGAAGAUCUUGAUGGUUAUAAGUUUCAGCUGUUGGAAAAGGCACCAACAUUGGAACCCCUUUGCAAGAUAAUGCUUAGAGUUGGAUAUGAAAAUUUUAGUAAUAUCAUAUCCAAAUAUUUGUGUCUGCAAUUUAUGAUUAUUUGUAGCCGAUCUGUUUGUCCUGGAUUGUGUGGUUAUUUACAGUUUUCCAAUGUCUUGGUUCUAAUUUUUUUUCCUCUGAUUAACACAGUCCCACAAACAUAGUAUACCCAUCUUGUUGCAUUUAAUGCUCACUUUUACAUGGAGCCAGAGACCUCAGAUAGUGGUUCGAUGACAAUUGGGGCUGCUGGUGGUCGUGGGGGUAUCACUUCAGCAGGCGGGCGAAGUACAAGAUCUCCUACUUCUAAUUAAAUUGUGCGACCUCUUCCUGGCCUGAAAGAGAAAGUUAAGAAUGUCAUGUUUUAAGAACGUUAAGAACGUUACUGUUGGGCCUCGGAGCCUCAGAGUUUGGCUACUGAAUGGUAUGUUGCGUGGUCUGCGUUUGUGUGUAUGCGACUUAUUGGUAUUUGAUCACUUCUCUUUCAAGUACUUUGACUACAUUGUUUUCUUUCAUUUAUCUUGUCUGACAUCUUGUGAGCUGAAUUAUGAACUUGCUAUGAAGAUUUGCUCCAUACCCACCUAGACCACGCACACUUGGGCAUAUAUUAUGGCAGACUUGUGCACCAGCACCGUGGUUGCGUUUUGUCACUGUAAAAGUUUUAUGAAGAAACUUAUUCAUCAGAAAAUGAGGAUGAGGUUAGAGACAUGUGGGUCGAGUAUUUGCUCAAGCAUGAAGCAGAUGAAGAAAACCAAGUUGAUGGUAUGAAAAUAACUCCACUAGUUUCGGUUCCAAUUGUUGGUAAAUUGGCAUGAAUGAUUAUAUUUUGAAAUUUAUUUUUGUUUUACGUUUUUGGAAAUUGCGAUGUAAAUCUUUGACGUUUAUGCAAAUUACAAUUUAUGCAAAAGCUUGCGUUUUGAGCAUUACUUGUGGGAAAUAUAUUUUUUUGGUAAUAUAUGGAUUAUGGAAUUGUUCUCAAAUUAUUACAAAUUAUGUAUUAUAGCAGAUUAGCAGGUGUGGUUUUGUGGUUUUGUGCGUUUGAUUCCUGCUGCCCGAUAUUUAUAGAGGUGUAAACGCAGGUGUAUUAUGUAUGUUAAUUCUGAAUUGGCGUAGCUGGCUUCUGCUAUUAUCGAUUUUUUUUAAAAAAAAAAUAAGGUUGCAAAGAGACCCGUCAGGUGUAAUAAAGGCUCUCUAGUUAUAAUAAUAAAACAAUUCAAAGAGACCUCAUAUCUAAGAUACGAGGUCUUAAUUUGUGA